rnacentral:rRNA from 1 species
UACGAAGGGGGCUAGCGUUGCUCGGAAUCACUGGGCGUAAAGGGCGCGUAGGCGGGAUGGCAAGUCGGUCGUGAAAGCCUUCGGCUCAACCGAAGAACGUCGGCCGAUACUGCCGUUCUUGAGGGAUGCAGAGGAGACUGGAAUUCCCGGUGUAGCGGUGAAAUGUGUAGAGAUCGGGAGGAACACCGGUGGCGAAGGCGGGUCUCUGGGCAUCUCCUGACGCUGAGGCGCGAAAGCGUGGGGAGCAAACGGG